UGCGGCUGGAUCCCCUCCUCUCUAAGGAUAUAUUCGGAACAUCUUCUUUAGAAGAUGCGGAAUAACGUGACAUAUUGUAUUCAGUUUUGAAUGUUUAUUUAACAUUCAAAUAUUUUUUGGUUAAAGCGAUAUUGCUUAUGCGAGCGCUUGACUGAAAAGAAUUUGUACAUUGAAAACUAGAUAAGUAAGUAAAAUAUAGAUUUUACCAAGCAAAACCGAGUGAAUAAAGAGUUUUAAAUAAGCUUGAAUUCAUAAGAAAUAAUCGCUAGUGUUCGAAAGAACACUCACAAGAUUAAUAACGCGUUUCCUGUAGGAUGGAAACAUAGAUUAAGUUAUUAAGGGCGCACGGUGGAUGCCUUGGCACUAGAAGCCGAUGAAGGACGUUACUAACGACGAUAUGCUUUGGGGAGCUGUAAGUAAGCUUUGAUCCAGAGAUUUCCGAAUGGGGAAACCCGG
rnacentral:misc_RNA from 1 species